rnacentral:lncRNA from 1 species
CCCUCAAAAUACACACAUACCCAGUGUAGAUUAUUGCGUUGCGUAUUUUGAUCGUAAGCUUAACUAAGGUGUUAAAGAUAGAACUACGUCUUUUUAGGAAAGUAUUUAAACAAAUUCUAAAAACGUUCUACAGAUUCCUAGACUUAUAGGUUUGUCUUUUUUCAGUACAUAAAACAAACGAAAUUCCUAGUGAUUUUUCACAGGCAAAUCCCGAAUUUGGUUAAAAUGCCAAUGAUGUGAAAGUGUAUGAUUAGAAUUUGGUGUUAAUUAAAAAGUAUUUCGAUAUAUCCUCAUUGAAAAGUACAACGGUCAGCGACGAUUGGUCAUCAUGGACAACAUUAUUUUUUUCUGUCAAUAGCUAGAAUGACGGAGCUGGCGUAUGGGUCUUCAUGGCUUCCGUUUCUCUGUCGAAUUUGAAUAUAGAUCUCUAAUUUCGUUAUCUUCAAAUUUUUCGAUAGAUCUGCAUUUUAAUUAGAUUGUCCGUUUUGACACCGAAAGCUACCUACUUGGUUUAUAUGUGCAUUAAAACAACUGCACACAAAAUCGUAUCUUUUCAAUUUUCCUUGGCCCCAUAAAUGCGCGAGGUUUGGCUAGCCACUAAACCAGGUUCAACCCACCGUUUAUCUUAAAGUGUCCUGUCAAAGUCAGGAAAAUGGCAGUUUUUAUCUUAUAGUUCGUUUCUGUAUGUUUUGCAUUGUCUUUGUUGUGUACCCUCGGUCUUAAUUUGUUACCCGGAUUUGUUUUCUUUCGAUCGAUUUAUUACUCUCGAACAGUGGUAUACUACUAUUGCCUUUAUUACAGUUCUUGAGUAUUACAAUUGUUCAGACAGAAGUUUAAUAUUUCGUGUUUUAGGUUUAUGUUUUUUUUUUAUAUUUUACCUUAUAAAAGUUGCAUAAAUAUCCUCAUUUCAAUCACGCAUUAGUAUGUAUGUUGAUGUUCUAGUUGUUGGCACAUUAUUUUUCCUUACAUCUGUAAGUGAUCCUAAUAUUCUGGGUCUUUUCGCUCGAAAUCAAUAUUACAAACAUUGUUGCAUCAAACUUCAAUAUCUUAACUUGUAUAAUUAAGAAUGUAAAUAAUACUUUUCUUAAGAAAUUAAGUAUAAUUUAACAAAUGCCC